rnacentral:lncRNA from 1 species
AUGGCGAAGGUGGGAAACGAUGUUCAAAUGAAAAUAAUAAUAACAGAAACAGCAACAAAAACAUUACUUGCAAAAGAAGAACAAAAAAAAGAUAAGAGACAGUCAUGCCUCUUCUGUCGUCAAUAUAUGAUAUCCUUAAAGCAUAAAUAUGAAUCCCCAAAGGAUUCAGAAGUAUUUAAAAGAAGCUUCUCAAGUAAAUAGUUAGACCAAACAAAGUCUGCUUCCUCAAAGUUGUGUUUCCAUCUUCAUAUAAUUAACCUAGUUAAUACAACUAAAUAAACAUCAACUUAUACUUGUACCCCCCACUCAAGAGAUUAAAGAAAUAUUAUGCAAAACAGAAACAAGAUUUGCAAAUGGAUUUUUAUUGGCUUAAAAAAAAA